GGACGAACGCUGGCGGCGUGCCUAAUACAUGCAAGUAGAACGCUGAAGAGAGGAGCUUGCUCUUCUUGGAUGAGUUGCGAACGGGUGAGUAACGCGUAGGUAACCUGCCUUGUAGCGGGGGAUAACUAUUGGAAACGAUAGCUAAUACCGCAUAACAAUGGAUGACACAUGUCAUUUAUUUGAAAGGGGCAAUUGCUCCACUACAAGAUGGACCUGCGUUGUAUUAGCUAGUAGGUGAGGUAAUGGCUCACCUAGGCGACGAUACAUAGCCGACCUGAGAGGGUGAUCGGCCACACUGGGACUGAGACACGGCCCAGACUCCUACGGGAGGCAGCAGUAGGGAAUCUUCGGCAAUGGGGGCAACCCUGACCGAGCAACGCCGCGUGAGUGAAGAAGGUUUUCGGAUCGUAAAGCUCUGUUGUAAGUCAAGAACGGGUGUGAGAGUGGAAAGUUCACACUGUGACGGUAGCUUACCAGAAAGGGACGGCUAACUACGUGCCAGCAGCCGCGGUAAUACGUAGGUCCCGAGCGUUGUCCGGAUUUAUUGGGCGUAAAGCGAGCGCAGGCGGUUUGAUAAGUCUGAAGUUAAAGGCUGUGGCUCAACCAUAGUUCGCUUUGGAAACUGUCAAACUUGAGUGCAGAAGGGGAGAGUGGAAUUCCAUGUGUAGCGGUGAAAUGCGUAGAUAUAUGGAGGAACACCGGUGGCGAAAGCGGCUCUCUGGUCUGUAACUGACGCUGAGGCUCGAAAGCGUGGGGAGCGAACAGGAUUAGAUACCCUGGUAGUCCACGCCGUAAACGAUGAGUGCUAGGUGUUGGAUCCUUUCCGGGAUUCAGUGCCGCAGCUAACGCAUUAAGCACUCCGCCUGGGGAGUACGACCGCAAGGUUGAAACUCAAAGGAAUUGACGGGGGCCCGCACAAGCGGUGGAGCAUGUGGUUUAAUUCGAAGCAACGCGAAGAACCUUACCAGGUCUUGACAUCCCGAUGCUAUUUCUAGAGAUAGAAAGUUACUUCGGUACAUCGGUGACAGGUGGUGCAUGGUUGUCGUCAGCUCGUGUCGUGAGAUGUUGGGUUAAGUCCCGCAACGAGCGCAACCCCUAUUGUUAGUUGCCAUCAUUCAGUUGGGCACUCUAGCGAGACUGCCGGUAAUAAACCGGAGGAAGGUGGGGAUGACGUCAAAUCAUCAUGCCCCUUAUGACCUGGGCUACACACGUGCUACAAUGGUUGGUACAACGAGUUGCGAGUCGGUGACGGCGAGCUAAUCUCUUAAAGCCAAUCUCAGUUCGGAUUGUAGGCUGCAACUCGCCUACAUGAAGUCGGAAUCGCUAGUAAUCGCGGAUCAGCACGCCGCGGUGAAUACGUUCCCGGGCCUUGUACACACCGCCCGUCACACCACGAGAGUUUGUAACACCCGAAGUCGGUGAGGUAACCUUUUGGAGCCAGCCGCCUAAGGUGGGACAGAUGAUUGGGG
rnacentral:rRNA from 1 species